rnacentral:misc_RNA from 1 species
GGAGUAAAAGUCGUAACAAGGGUUCCGUAGGUGAACCUGCGGAAGGAUCAUUCAUAAUAAGUGUUUUAUGGCACUUUUUUAAAUCCAUAUCCACCUUGUGUGCAAUGUCAGGGUUGAUUUUUCUCUCGAGAGGAUCAACCCCAAACAUCAACUAUAUCUCAACUCUUUGUCUGAAAAAUAUUAUGAAUAAAACAAUUCAAAAUACAACUUUCAACAACGGAUCUCUUGGCUCUC